GACGAACGCUGGCGGCGUGCUUAACACAUGCAAGUCGAACGGAAAGGCCCUGCUUGCAGGGUACUCGAGUGGCGAACGGGUGAGUAACACGUGGGUGAUCUGCCCUGCACUUCGGGAUAAGCCUGGGAAACUGGGUCUAAUACCGGAUAGGAGCCAUUCUUAGUGUGAUGGUUGGAAAGUUUUUUCGGUGUAGGAUGAGCUCGCGGCCUAUCAGCUUGUUGGUGGGGUAAUGGCCUACCAAGGCGGCGACGGGUAGCCGGCCUGAGAGGGUGGACGGCCACAUUGGGACUGAGAUACGGCCCAGACGCCUACGGGAGGCAGCAGGGGGGAAUAUUGCACAAGGGGCGCAAGCCUGAUGCAGCGACGCCGCGUGGGGGAGGACGGCCUUCGGGUUGUAAACUCCUUUCGCUAGGGACGAAGCUUUUUGUGACGGUACCUAGAGAAGAAGCACCGGCUAACUACGUG
rnacentral:rRNA from 1 species